rnacentral:rRNA from 1 species
UACGUAGGGUGCGAGCGUUAAUCGGAAUUACUGGGCGUAAAGCGUGCGCAGGCGGUUUUGUAAGACAGGCGUGAAAUCCCCGGGCUUAACCUGGGAACUGCGCUUGAGACUGGAAGGCUAGAGUACUGGAGAGGGUGGUGGAAUUCCUCGUGUAGCGGUGAAAUUCGUAGAUAUUCGGAAGAACACCAGUGGCGAAGGCGGCUAACUGGCCCAUUACUGACGCUGAGGCUCGAAAGCGUGGGGAGCAAACGGG